UACAGAGGUGUCAAACGUUGUCCGGAAUUACUGGGCGUAAAGGGCGCGUAGGCGGCCUUAUAAGUCAGAUGUGAAAGCUCUGGGCUCAACCCAGGAAUUGCAUCUGAUGCUGUAAGGCUUGAGUUCGGUAGAGGAGGGCGGAAUUCCAGGUGUAGCGGUGAAAUGCGUAGAUAUCUGGAGGAACACCCGUGGCGAAGGCGGCUCUCUGGUCCGAAACUGACGCUGAGGUGCGAAAGCUAGGGUAGCAAACAGG
rnacentral:rRNA from 1 species